rnacentral:lncRNA from 1 species
AGAGAGGGCUGCGGACAGGGAUGCAUCUCUACCGUGCCUGCCGUCGGGUGAUCUAACUGCAAGCAAAAGGCAGCAGGGAAUGUUUGAAGAUUUCUGUGGCCAGUCUCCUAGGAAUGUGAGCACUGUGAGGAAAGCUGGAACAUGGAUCUGGAGGGACAAACGGAGAACGUCCGGGACAGGAAGAGUAGUGGGAAACGAGUCAGAGAGAGAGCAAAUGUGCGCUGAGUGCCUCUCCAUGGAAGCCUGAGGGGAACCCAGC